GGCGGCAGCGACCGUCGGCUUCGGCGCCGGCAGGGCGUACGCGGCCAUGGCUCCGGCGGCGGCAUGAACUCCGGUAGUGGCGGCGGCGGCUGUUGGCUUCGGCACUGGCAGGGAGUGCGCGGCCAUGGUAGAGGCAGCAGCGUGGCUCUUUCCCGGCGCAAGCUCCCGCAGCAAUUCCCUCACAAGCAACGCGGCUUUGUCAAGGGAUCCUCGGUGGUUACCUUGUGCGGCGAAGGCAAGCGACAAGCCGCGUGGGACUUCACGGCGGCUGUGGCGCUCUCCUCCCUGAGCUCAUGCGAGGAGGAGGUGGCAGCCGGACGCGUGGUGCUGAUGCGCAAUGAUGGAGGCCGGCCGGACGCGCUACUCCUCGAGCUCAUGUGCAGCGGCGGCUAGGAUUUCUGAAAUUUGGGGAUUUUUGCAUCUAUGGUUACGGGAUGGGAAUCAGGGCCAAACAAUGGUGAAUUUGGGGCCUAAUCGCCAUUAACAGGUGAAAAAAACACGGGGAGAGAGCUCGAUGCAGCAGCAACAGAGAUGACAGGGCUGCCAGGCGGCACCCGAACUCGACGCCCCGCCGGCCUGCUUCACGGAGGACGCGGCAGAGUGCAGUGGCAGUGAACAACGAGGGCUGGCAGGCGGAGGCCGAGCUCGACGCCGGGGACGCCCCGCCGGCCUUCUUUGCUGAGGACGCUGCGCGCGCGCCGUGCCAAGUUGUCUGGGAGAGGUUGAGGGAGAGGAUAGUUGAUUUCAAGAGGCAAUUUGGAGAAGCUGUUGGGUAACUUACCUUGUGGAAAGCUUUUUAUUUUUUACAUAGUCUGUUUACCUCUUCAUUUACCUAAGAAUUUUAGCUAUUAUGUUGGAGUUGCUCUUAAGUGCUACCAACAGCGGAA